rnacentral:rRNA from 1 species
UACGUAGGUGGCAAGCGUUGUCCGGAAUUAUUGGGCGUAAAGCGCGCGCAGGUGGUUAUGUAAGUCUGAUGUUAAAGCCCGGGGCUCAACCCCGGUUCGCAUUGGAAACUGCGUAACUUGAGUGCAGAAGAGGAAAGUGGUAUUCCACGUGUAGCGGUGAAAUGCGUAGAGAUGUGGAGGAACACCAGUGGCGAAGGCGACUUUCUGGUCUGUAACUGACACUGAGGCGCGAAAGCGUGGGGAGCAAACAGG